CGUCUUUCUUUUUCUU
rnacentral:sRNA from 1 species